GGCUUAUGCAGCAGUCAUUACGUUGAAAUGCUGUAUAUUUAGAAACUGAAAUGUUGGGGCAGAAUGGGCUGUUUUUAUUGUGUGAACGGCCUCUGUAACACCCUCCUGUUCACGUGCAUCUGGGUGAGAACCCGCACUGAAUGCGUACGGAACCAUCGCGAGGAGGACGAGCGCUCGCAGCAUCAGCAACACACACUUCCACACGCGCGCGCGCACACACACACACACACACAUAGGCUACACAAAGAGGUCAGCUCGCGUGCUGCGACUUGAACGGAAGACAACCGAGUGCCGCGAGACACAAUAAAGGAGGCAUAGGAACUGAUCCCCGUGCCGUCACACACGCUGAAGAGCACCAAGGAGCAGAGCUUUGUAAAUCAAGGAGCAGAAGGUUGAAUCCAUGUUCCCUAAGGUUUUCCUUCAGUGGUGUGCAGCUCUUUCUAGCUGCGUGGCUGAUCUAGAAGACAGGAUCAACAGAUAAACAGUGGCAAUUAUAUAUAUAUAUUUUUUUUUUUUUUUUGAGUGAUUUUUGUUGUUUUUGGCAUGAUGGAUGAUCCUGCUCUCCUCAUCCUCCUCCUGGAGCAGGGUGAGCGCUCUCUUGAGGACCACACAAGAGACUUUUUGGACCUUGCCAACCAAACACACUACCUGGAUAACUGCCUCACCACGUUCUACCAUGUGGGACUAAACACCACCGUUAAGGCAAAGUUGUCUGGGGACGGUCCUCGAGAGAGCCUAGCCGCCUAUGUGGAGUGGGUGCUGGUAAAUAACAACUCGCUGCUGACUCCCUGCUACCUAGAUGAGGAACUCACCAGCCCCACUCCUGAGCCAGCCAUCAUACCAGCACAUCACCGAGUGUGAGCACGAGCCCACCUCAGACACGGAGGUGUGAUCGAAGAGCCUGAGGAAACAGAGCCAAUCACCGCCCCGGAGCCCACGCCCGCCAAUAAGUCUGAAAGUGAAAGUGAAAGUGAAGUGACGUGUGGCCGAAUAUAGUGAGCCAUAUUCGGAAUUUGUGCUCUGCAUUUAACCCUUCCAAGUGCACACACACAGUAGUGAACACACACACACCUGGAGUGAACUAGGUGUGCGAACCGGCCACAACAUUGGAGUAUUCAUGGAAGACGAGGUAAAAGAGGAAAGCCACACCCACAUCUCCACUGCUGAGGGUGAGCUGCAGCUGGUUUCUGUGAAUUCUCUUUCUUAUUCUUUGUCUGUGUCAAGUAUUGCUUGUUUUGAUUUCUUGCUUGUUCUGUCCAACCCUUAGCCUUUUGAUCCCUCGCUAGUUCCAGCACUGAAUUCUCUUGAAGUCUCUUAAACUCCCACCCAGCCUCCCUAUCCCACCUCUGCCUUCUUGUAUCUGGUUUUCAGUUCCUGUCCCAUCACCUGUCUGUCUUUCUGUUAACUCUAUGCCAGCUGCAGCUUAUGCCAUUACCAUCCAGCCUCAAGAUCAUCUUCAUCUAUCUGGGACUAUCCUGCUGUUGGCACUUGUGGACCUCAUCACCACUUCUGUACAGCCUUCGUCUAGCACCUACCCAUCUCCCAGAUGCACACCCUCAGUCUGCAUCUGCCUAUGUGGGUUCACAUCGGGGCUUCCUUCCAUCAGCUCCGCCUUGGUGUGAGGUUCCUCUGUCUCCGCCUUGGUUCCUAGCUUCCUCGUCUCCACCAUGGCCCCUCAUCCCAACGGCUCCACUAGGCUCCCUUCUCCAUCCUGCUCAACCUUGGUCAGUCAUUGACCAUCCGCUGCCUCGGGAUUGCAUUCCUCUGGCUUUGCCUUGUCAUUCCACCCCUCUGGCUCUGUCAGACUCCUCCUUCCCUCUGUCUUCGCCUUUGUCCUCAGUUGCUCCGGCUCCACCACGGUCCAGGCUCAGCGUCUGAUCGGCUCCACCUGGGUCACUAUUGCUGCCGGCCUCAUUGCAGGAGCUUGCACCCCCAGGAUCCUCCGCCCAGGCAUCAUCCAUGGCUCCUCCCUCCUGCAUCUACACCUGGUCUCCACAGCGCGAGGUCGGGCCUUCCGGGAGGGGGCGUUCUGUCACAGUCUUGUCUUUGUUUUAGUCUUCCCUGUUUGGCCUAGUUUUCCCUCAUGUGUCGGAUUAGUUAUCUCUCUCACCUGUAAUUGUUAAUUAUCUCAUUAAUCCUCUGCCUUAUUUAAACCCUAGGCUCAUUUGAGAUGAGCAAAAGUUGCACAGAACCGAUCACAGCAAGAUGCAUGCAAGUUAGAAAUGUGUCCCAGUGCAGUCCGCCUUGCUCUGAUGUUAUGCUGACGAAUGCCAAAAAUCUCUCGCCAGAUCCGUCGUGCAGUGGAGCGCAGUUGCUCUCCCCCAGCUGCGCUGACCAAAAGCAUGAUGGGAAAUGACUUGCUGACAUCACAGUUUAAUGCUCAUUGGUUCAAACAACCGUGAGGUUGCGUUCUCUUCUAAAAUGUUUUAUUUUUUUAUCUGAUAUCAUGUGAUUGUUUAAAUUAUGCAUGAAUAUUCCCAAACACUAUGACAGUGCAAUUUCUGUGUGAGAUAUGUAGUUGUUGUCAUGUUUCUGAAAAAUACUAAAAUACAUGUAUGUAUUAAAGUAAAAAUGGAUGAUAAAUACGUCUUUUGAAU
ensembl:lncRNA